AUUGAACGCUGGCGGCAUGCUUUACACAUGCAAGUCGAACGGUAACAGGCCGCAAGGCGCUGACGAGUGGCGAACGGGUGAGUAAUUCAUCGGAACGUGCCCAGUCGUGGGGGAUAACGCAGCGAAAGCUGCGCUAAUACCGCAUCCGAUCCCUGGAUGAAAGCGGGGGACCGAGAGGCCACGCGCGAUUGGACCGGCCGAUGUCAGAUUAGGUAGUUGGUGGGGGAAAGGCUCACCAAGCCAACGAACUGUAGCUGGUCUGGGAGGACGACCGGCCAUACUGGGACUGAGACACGGCCCAGACUCCUACGGGAGGCAGCAGUGGGGAAUUUUGGACAAUGGGCGCAAGCCUGAUCCAGCAAUGCCGCGUGCAGGAAGAAGGCCUUCGGGUUGUAAACUGCUUUUGUACGGAACGAAACGGUCCUGGUUAAUACCUGGGGCUGAUGACGGUACCGUAAGAAUAAGCACCGGCUAACUACGUGCCAGCAGCCGCCGUAA
rnacentral:rRNA from 1 species